CUCUGGACUUAGAAACUGACACAGGCUGAUCUGCAGUUAAUAGCUGGCAAACUUUCAUUGCAGUAUAAUUCUCCUCAGUAUACUUCUGUUCGGGAAUAUGCUCUUCUAGUUCUGUGACUGACUGCCCACGUGCUAGAUUUGUAGGCUCAGGAUGAGAAACUAAAGUAGACUGUGGUGGAUCAGAGCUUACUGGCAUCUCCUCUGCUAAUCCACUUGUCUGAGGUUCAG